CCGGGAUGGUGCUACGGUAAAAACACGAAGCUCGAUUUCGCUCAUUGAAUAGUUUCGUGAAAAUUAAAUCUAUGCUAAUUAAAUAUUUAUUUUUUAGCUAAUAUUUAUUUCAAAACAUUUUGAUUUUGAAAAUUGGCCAGGCUAGUGCAACGUACGUCGAGUCUGCUCUGGACACGUCAAGAAAGUGCAUACUUUAAAUUUAGAAAGCCGUGAUGUAUAUAAGGUAUGCAGAUGGUCCUCACGAAUGCAACAUUUUACUAUAUCAAAGGCCAUCGAAGAAAAAAGGUUGGGCAUCACUGGACUAAAAUAACAAGCAUCGAAGA